rnacentral:rRNA from 1 species
GACGAACGCUGGCGGCGUGCUUAACACAUGCCAGUCGAACGGAAAGGCCCUGCUCUUGUGGGGUGCUCGAGUGGCGAACGGGGGAGUAACACGUGAGUAACCUGCCCUUGACAUUGGGAUAACUUCAGGAAACUGGGGCUAAUAUCGGAUAGGAGCUCCUGCUGCAUGGUGGGGGUUGGAAAGUUUCGGCGGUUGGGGAUGGACUCGCGGCUUAUCAGCUUGUUGGUGGGGUAGUGGCUUACCAAGGCUUUGACGGGUAGCCGGCCUGAGAGGGUGACCGGCCACAUUGGGACUGAGCUACGGCCCAGCAUCCUACGGGAGGCAGCAGUGGGGAAUAUUGCACAAUGGGCGGAAGCCUGAUGCAGCAACGCCGCGUGCGGGAUGACGGCCUUCGGGUUGUAAACCGCUUUCGCCUGUGACGAAGCGUGAGUGACGGUAAUGGGUAAAGAAGCACCGGCUAACUACGUG